UCCAACCCCUGCUCAAAGGGGGCUAAUGUUAAAGUUCAGUUGGGUUGCUCAGUACCUUGUCUGGGUUUUGAAUAUCUUAAUGAUGGAGASUCCACAACCCUGUCCCAGGGUUUAAUUGAGCUGCUUGUGAUACGUAUACAUAUAUAUAUAUAUUUUUUUUCCUUCUAUCUAGUCUCAAUUUCCCUUGCUGCAGCCUGCGAGUGCUGCUUCCUGUCCUUUCACUGUGCACCUCCGCGGAGAGUCCAGGCUGGAAUUACUUUUCCUCCGGGAAAGCUUUAUUCGCCUUCUCCCUUACGCUACUCCCUGCGCUGCACCCAGCAGCGCAGGGACACGUCUCCUCCUCCUGCCCCCGCGGCCCCGCUGUCCYGGAGGGACACCCAGGGGCUGGAAGCGAGCAAAUCCGCGGGCAGGGCGCAAGACACCGUUGGGGAAAGGCUCCGGGGGCAGGAGCAGAGCGGCGGCAACCAGGGAAGGAGAGAGCCGGCACGCCGAGCGAGAGGCUGCGCGGGAAGGCAGCUCACGGAGCUCCUUAGGAUCCCGGCGGGAGCAGCCCCCUCGCUCCCCCCCGCGCUCUUCCCAGCCGCCUCUCGGCGCUUUUCCCCCCUCUUUCAGCGCCCGGCGCCUCACGUACCUCGUGCCCGGUGCCCGGCGUCCCUGCGCGGCGCGAGCCGCCCGCCGCCGCCCUCCGACCCGCCGCCGCCUGGUCCUCUGCCGAGGGGAGGCACCGAGCUCUGCCGUGGCUUUCACGCGAGGCGGCCUUCCUGGGAGAGCCCUUUCCCGGCGCCUCCGGGACGRGUUUCGGGACACGCGCCGCUCCCACUCCCGGCCGGCUCGGGCAGCCCGGCGGCAGCUGGGCCGUGCCUCCGCGCGUCAGGGGGCUGUUCGUCGUCAGCGGGAGGGCCGGCCGGCACGCGGCGCGGGCCAGAGGCUGCCUCGGCUCCCGCAUCUCCGCCAAAGCAUCCCGCGGAGCCGCGGGCCGAGCGCCGCCGGAGCGGGGGGACGUGGCCGACCCCUCUGCCGGCCGCGGGGCGGCUGCGUUUGGCUCGAGGUCCGCGCGCAAAGACCCGGCGCUUCUUACCCGCGCCUGCACCCGUGCCGUCGGCGAGCUUGGCCUGCCUGSAA
rnacentral:lncRNA from 1 species